UACGAAGGGGGCUAGCGUUGCUCGGAAUCACUGGGCGUAAAGGGUGCGUAGGCGGGUCUUUAAGUCAGGGGUGAAAUCCUGGAGCUCAACUCCAGAACUGCCUUUGAUACUGAGAUCUUGAGUUCGGGAGAGGUGAGUGGAACUGCGAGUGUAGAGGUGAAAUUCGUAGAUAUUCGCAAGAACACCAGUGGCGAAGGCGGCUCACUGGCCCGAUACUGACGCUGAGGCACGAAAGCGUGGGGAGCAAACAGGG
rnacentral:rRNA from 1 species